rnacentral:rRNA from 1 species
GGGCCAGUAGGUUGGUCGUGCCACUGGUAUGCACUGGCCUUAUUGGUCUCUCCCUCCUGAAGAACCGUGAUGCCAUUAACUUGGUGUUGCGGUGAGGCAGGACUGUUACUUUGAAAAAAUUAGAGUGCUCAAAGCAGGCUAGCGCCUGAAUACAUUAGCAUGGAAUAAUAAAAUAGGACGGCAUGGUUCUAUUUUGUUGGUUUCUAGGAUCACCGUA